GUAAUGGCGAGAAAAAAUAACCAUACAACAAAAAAGCAAAAAGUGAAAUUAGUACAGAAUACUUAAACGGGGGAUUCAGUGUAACAAGUGAACACUACUGUAGUACAGCGAACGAUGAGACAGUAAUGCUGCAUCUUGCCACUCCAGAACGUGAGAAAUGAAUAUGCAAGCCUCAUAUUAGAAACUUACAUAAACAUGGAAAUAAACUGGAAUGCACUGGAAGCUGCAUUUGUGUAACAAAGGAAGCAAUGGUCAUAAUAAAUAGUAUGUGUUUUAUCUAAAAAGCCCUUUACAAGAGGCAAAGUUGUACCUCUCUGGCAAAAACAAAGUUGCAACGAAUAAUUUGCAAACCAGCAAAUACAUUAAUUAGCACACUGACAUGUCACACUUUGCGCACAUCUCCAGUCUCCUAAAGUAAAAAAAAAGCACUCUGAAUGAGAAAAACGUUUAACGCAUGUAGCCCAUGCAGAGCAAGUUCUUUGCCAGUUCACUCACACUUUCACAUCCAAAAACAUUUGCCACAAAGUCCAGGCACAGUUCCACUGAUGUUUACCAAUUCACCCCCACUUUCACGUCCAAAAAUAUUUGGCACACAGUCCAGGCAGAGCUUCAUAGAUAAACAGCUUGAGAGCACCCUACUGAUUAUUGUGCAGUCCCGCUGCUGGAAAUAGAACUGCCGCAUAUGCUGGUAGUGGUUUCAAUGUAGACACACUUGCUGCCCUGGACAGGUAUGCUCAGAUAUCUGCACUGGUGCUCCGUUUUGUCGAAGUAGACACAUUGAUGCACUACGCUGGUAAUUAAAAUGUAUUGAAUGCACAAGUAUUGGCUUCACCAGAGAGAUUUGCCCACAUACCACCACUGGCAUAUAUAUAUGCACUUGCUCUUCACUCAGUAGCAUUGAACUUAAAAUGUUCCCUAUGUGGGAGCCAUGUGUAAAACCGGUGUCACACGACCACUCUCGAUCGCGAUCACGCCCGAUCCGGAUCGAAAUUAUCGAUGCGACUGGCUCACUCUCGUAGCUUGCGCAGAGGAGCCAAUCACGACCGAGAAAUUCGAUUUGUAACGGACUGGAUAGCGGCUAAAAGAGCCCCGUGUGAAACCGGUAUCAAAUAAUGCACAGACGUACGCUAGGAAAAUGUGUUGCACAAGGACAAAGAACUGCGACAUGCCCUGUUGUGCGAAGCGCGCGAACAGAACACAUGUAUAUAUAUAUAAAAAAAAACUGCGAGAGCGCUUCGCGAACUCCAUGCGCACACAUGGCACCCGCACGAACUCGCCAGGCCGCCGAAAGCGCGAAGGGCGCACAGCGUACAUUCCGACACACGUCCCAAACUGCAAACAAUCGUACUACCUAAAGCAUACAAGUUAUUUUAUACCAAGGGCAUACUCGACUCAUGUAUGCAGUAUCCACAAGCGAGUUAUGCAGCGUACAUGCUGUAUCCAUUCGCCAAAUAGUAAAAUUGAUAACAAGCACAAAGCUACAAGGGACUCAAUACAUUACUACCAUUUGAGGCGUCAAAUAAAAUCGAAUUUGGCCGUUUCAUAUAUUGGACACAAUAUAUGGACACAUGUGGUACCCGGUAAUACCAUGAAAUACCCAUCACGUGGGUAAAGGGGGCGAAAACACAAUCGAGAACCUGAAGCGCAAACGAUAAAAGCACGGUAUGGUGCACGCAAAAUUCUGUCAGUGCGCUGUAGCGCGAGGGAAGAAAAUAGGGCGAGCACUUGACCUCACCUUUUGGGAUACCGCACUAGUACUGAAUCAUUAAAAAAAAAGCCUGUUUGAACCAGUUCCCUUGUCUGCAACAGUCUUGCUAAACGGGAGACUAAAAUACCACGAUGACGGCUCUAUAUUGCGGAGAUCGGCAAGGUGCGCACAGGCAGAAAUUUUGCCGCCUUUCUUCGCAUUCUGCAAAAUGCUUUCUUGUUAGGAUCACGCAUAGCGGCCGAUCCCGACGCUAGGGACACACAGGCACGAUUUCGUCCCUCUAACUUUCGUCCUUAUACUGCCCUUAACGCCUUAAUUACAGCGUCAGUGAAAAGGCACCUCACAUAACAUGACAAUGAACUUGAAGAGCUGAUUAGUGCCCUCCACUCCGCGCCCUCCAAUUGAAAACACUACUGAUUUCGAAAUUAAACUACACAAACAGAUCGCACAACCCAAACUAAUCACAGAAUGUCGUUUUCUUGACAGCAAAGCACUGCAACACUUACAUGACAAAGGGCAGCGGCAGCACAUUCAGAACAGUCGCAAACAGACCAUAGUGCCAUGCGAGUGCGAUAACGCAACUAUGCCCGGCUUCACGAAUAACAUGGCCGCCUUGGUCACAUAACAAUUGAAAACACUACUGAUUUCCAAAUUAAAACCACACAAACAUAUCGCACAACCCAAACUGAUCACAGAAUAUCGUUUUCUUGACAGCAAAACACUGCAACACUUACAUAGCAAAGGGCAGCGGCAGCACAUUCAGAACAGCCGCAAACACACCACAGCGCAAUACGAGUGCGGUGACGCGACGACGCCAUGACGACGCGACUAUGCCCGGCUCGCCACUUGAACAUCGCCCCCGAGUGCUCCGUGAUCGCUGCGCAUGCGUGAGGUGAGAGAAGGUGAGAAAGGAGAACAACUCUUUUUCGCAGGAUGUGACGUCACAUUGUUGCUUGUUUUUACUUUUUUGAAAGAGCUACUCUCGAACGUAGAUUAGCCAUUGCCGUCGUGUCGGCUGCAAGACGUUCUGCGCGCGCUUGGCGCGCUUUUGUGCGUGUCGAAAGCGUAUAACGUGCGCGAUAUUCGUGCGAGCGCAGUUUGACUUGAGCAAUCGUGGGUUUGGACUCCGUGACAUUUGCUUUCGUCAUAUGCGAGUUAGGGGCUUGCCGACAGGUAAACCGCCGCUGUACUUAGAUGAGUUGAGAUUUACACAUCAAUGCCAGCUCACAAAGCAUCUAAUACGGCAAUCAGCCAGCCACCUCCGCAGAUGGAGAAUUCUGCAGUUUCCAAUCAUACUGUUUCUGUUGUCUUUGGCAGAGAUUUUGAUUGUACACGGCGGGAAUAAACUGUAGGACCAUAAAAAAACUUGUGAUGACAAGGGCCAUAUAUGGUGGAAAUUAUAGUAGAUUAUGACCAGCAUUAGCUCAAGCCCUGCUAAAGGUCUGUGGUAUCUAAAAAAAUAAUAAAGUGCUGGUUUUCAUAUCUA